rnacentral:rRNA from 1 species
GACGAACGCUGGCGGCGUGCUUAACACAUGCAAGUCGAACGGAAAGGCCCCUCUCUUGUGGGGCUCUCGUGUGGCGCACGGGUGUGAAACACGAGUAUAACCCGCCUUUGAUUUUGGGAUAAUCUCGGGAAACGGGGGCAUAUACCCGAUGGGCUCCUCCUGCGCGUUGGGGGGGGUGGAGAUUCUCGGCGGUGGGGGAUGGUCUCGGGGCUUAUCAGCUUGUUGGGGGGGUUGGGGUUUCCCAAGGCUUUGGCGGGUAGCCGGCCUGAGGGGGUGACCGGCCACAUUGGGACUGAGAUACGGCCCAGACUCCUACGGGAGGCAGCAGUGGGGAAUAUUGCACAAUGGGCGGAAGCCUGAUGCAGCAACGCCGCGUGCGGGAUGACGGCCUUCGGGUUGUAAACCGCUUUCGCCUGUGACGAAGCGUGAGUGACGGUAAUGGGUAAAGAAGCACCGGCUAACUACGUG